CAAAAUAUAAUUUAGUUAUCAAAAAUUGGUUCCUGUGGCAAAGAACACAAUUAGUUUAUUACAAAUAUCAAAAAAUAACAAGGAACAUUUAUCUAACUGCUAGCCUGACAAUUUACUCCAAGUUUAUACCGUAGUACACAUACAUGCCCAUGCAGUGCAUGGUACAUUUACAGUAUCAUGGAACUCUGACUUCUCAUUAAAUUGACUGGUGUAAACACCUCAUAGAGUUUUAAAACCUGUUUAUGGACUGUGGUAUGCAGUGAUGGAAGUGAAAGAAUUGGCAUUUAAGGUAAAUAAAUUGUCAGCUAGCUAGCUAUCAUAAACGUGUACCAUGUAAAUCAUGUACCACCAUAACCAUGCUUGAAAUCUAACCCACCAAACUGGCAAACAAAUAUCUCAAAUAGUGAUAACUAUAAAUCUUAUAGUUUCAAUAAAAAAUGGAACUUACUUUCAAA